UUGCAGUGCCCCAGCUAUGACUGCCAACAUCAACCAACUCCUGGAGAUAAGCAUGGAUAAAGCCGUGCUUGAUGUGGCAACACCCAAUCCUCCAGGUGAGGACAUACAAGAAACUCCAGAACAACAAAAAGUUUCAGGACAACUUCAGAUUUGGAGAAUUUCCAAAACCACAUACUCAUGUAUGCAGGAAAGCGGUUUGCCUACAGCCCCCCUGUUUACAAAACCCAGACAUUGCUUGCAGCAAUCGAUUACAACUAUCACAACCACCGCAUUCCUGCACGUGGCAAGGAUGGACACCGAAUGUAAGCUUUGCUACAGUAGUGUAGUGUACUACACUACAGUAGUGUAGUGUACUAGUAGUGUACUACCAAAAAUAAUUCAUUAGUUCUUACCUAAACAGUUGUGGAAUUGUGCAAUUACUUUACUUUACUAGGUACAGACAGUACUUCAACAAGAAGUCCGAGCACUGGAAGGAGAGCAAAGGCUACCAUUACAUUCCAGACCUGCAGAAGGCCAUCCUUGCUGAGAGGCUGGGAAGUGGAAUGGGCCUUCCAAGAAUACAGGGUCUAAGGCCUGAUGAUCCCAGGCGCUUGGGUUUGCUUGCCGCAACGCAGCCUCCAUCCACAUUUGAACUUGUCGCGGCUCAGGUUUCACGGGGAGAGGGUGGUGCCCAAAGUGAAUUCUAAACUAUUCCAUUCUUUCAUAGCUGUGUAUGUAAAUAAUUUGCAAAUAAUUCAAGAGUCGUAAAAAGAAAUAUUUUUUUUAUUUAUAUGUAAAUAAAAAACAAUGAACAUCAAACUGUACA
rnacentral:lncRNA from 1 species